GGGGUUGUGGCUCAGCGGUAGAGCACUCACCUGGCACCGGUGAGGCACUGGGUUCAAUCCUCAGCACCA
rnacentral:tRNA from 1 species